AUUGAACGCUGGCGGCAGGCCUAACACAUGCAAGUCGAGCGGAGAGGCUGACGGGUGAGUAAUGGCUAGGAAUCUGCCUGGUAGUGGGGGAUAACGUCCGGAAAAGGGCGCUAAUACCGCAUACUAUAAACUGAGCCUAGGUCGGAUUAGCUAUUUGGUUGGGUAAAGGCCUACCAAGGCGACGAUCCGUAAAUGGUCUGAGAGGAUGAUCAGUCACACUGGAACUGAGACACGGUCCCGACUCCUACGGGAGGCAGCAGUGUGGAAUAUUGGACAAUGGGCGAAAGCCUGAUCCAGCCAUGCCGCGUGUGUGAAGAAGGUCUUCGGAUUGUAAAGCACUUUAAGUUGGGAGGCGUUACCAACAGAAUAAGCACCGGCUAACUUCGUGCCAGCAGCCGCGGUAAUUC
rnacentral:rRNA from 1 species